rnacentral:rRNA from 1 species
GAUGAACGCUGGCGGCGUGCUUAACACAUGCAAGUCGAACGAUGAAGCCCAGCUUGCUGGGUGGAUUAGUGGCGAACGGGUGAGUAACACGUGAGUAACCUGCCCUUAACUCUGGGAUAAGCCUGGGAAACUGGGUCUAAUACCGGAUAGGAGCGUCCACCGCAUGGUGGGUGUUGGAAAGAUUUAUCGGUUUUGGAUGGACUCGCGGCCUAUCAGCUUGUUGGUGAGGUAUUGGCUCACCAAGGCGACGACGGGUAGCCGGCCUGAGAGGGUGACCGGCCACACUGGGACUGAGACACGGCCCAGACUCCUACGGGAGGCAGGAGUGGGGAAUAUUGCACGAAGGGCGCAAGCCUGAUGCAGCGACGCCGCGUGAGGGAUGACGGCCUGCGGGUUGUAAACCUCUUUCAGUAGGGAAGAAGCGAAAUGAACGGUACCUGCAGAAGAAGCACCGGCUAACUACGU